AAUAUUUAAUGUACAUGUACACCAGAUUAAGAUUGAAGAUGAGAACAUAUUUUUAUGCAUUUGCUCGCUGUAUAUAAAUGUACAAGUAUUGUAAAGACAACCCACUAGACUUCUGCAAAUAAUAUUGCAAGAUUACAUGUAUUUCCUGAUGACUAUUUUUGUAAUUCCAUUAAAGUGAUAAGUUUAAUUUAUAGUUUGAUGUUGCAUGAAUUGCUGCCCCCUCAUGAGUGGUUAAUGUCGAUUUGCGUAGAGUGGUGAAAUGUCAAGUUACAUGUUGGACGGUGAUAGUGAUUUUGAAUCGGCGAUCAUACUGUGUAAGACUAUUAUAAUUGUAUUAAUUUCUGCGGUUAUAUUGUAUAAGAUUAAUGAUUGUAUAAGUCUCGUGGUUAUAGUGGAUAAUGGUAAUUUAUGAUUGUAUAGACACUUGUGGUUAUGAUGUAUAAUAUAAUUGUAUGUCUUGGUUGAAUGUCAUUCAAGGGGGGAGUGUUAUCGUCGCUGAUAAGUUUUUUUUCUUAUUGAUAAGUUAACCAAUGUAAUUUGAAUGGAACGUUCAUCGUCUGGUUCUUUUAUGUGGCUUAAUUUACAAUUCAGAUUGACUUAAUUUGAAUAGUAUGUCUUCCAUGUGUUCUUUUGUCGUCUUAAUAUAUUAUUAUUCAUCUUUGCCUAAUUUGCAUGGAAUGUCGUGUCACAUGGCAUUGCUCCACCAAUGGCAUGGCAGAAUACGCUUAUCACGUGUAGUAUGGCUAUUUAAGCGUGGGAAUUUCCAAUACGCUUCAGUCUUCGUCACGUCGCCGAAAGCUGUGAAGACUCACCAGAAUGCCGCUGUGAACCCAGAAAACCCCUGUAUACUCCAGUAAACUACAUUACAUACAUUCCUGAUACCCAUCCAUUGUGUGUAGCGACGGGUGUUGGCCCCGCAUACGAUUUGUGAGUUAUAUUCAAAUCUAAUUGCUAAGUUAUAGGCUAACUGUAAACUUUAUGAAGAUGCUGUAUCUAUCUCAACCUGUGAAACUCUAAACACUGUGCUCUAAUUAACUUUCAUUUAUUGUGAACAUAUUGUUUAAUUGUCACUGUGUUUAAAUAUUGUACUUUGGUGUGUAAUUG